rnacentral:rRNA from 1 species
CUGGCUCAGAACGAACGCUGGCGGCAUGGAUUAGGCAUGCAAGUCGAACGGUGAAGCAGAGCUUGCUCUGUGAAUCAGUGGCGAAAGGGUGAGUAACGCGUGAGUAACCUACCUUUAAGUUGGAAAUAGCUCCGAGAAAUCGGAAUUAAUGUCGAAUGUGAACAGUUUUUCGCAUGGAAUUCUGUUUAAAGAUUUUUCGCUUAUUGAGGGGCUCGCGUCCCAUUAGCUAGUUGGUAAGGUAACGGCUUACCAAGGCAAAGAUGGGUAGCUGGUCUGAGAGGAUGAUCAGCCACACUGGGACUGAGACACUGCCCAGACUCCUACGGGAGGCUGCAGUCGAGAAUCUUCCGCAAUGCGCGAAAGCGUGACGGAGCGAUGCCGCGUGCAGGAUGAAGGCCCUUGGGUUGUAAACUGCUGUCACUCGGGACGAAGAUCUGACGGUACCGAGAGAGGAAGCCACGGCUAACUACGUGCCAGCAGCCGCGGUAAUACGUAGGUGGCGAGCGUUGUUCGGAUUUAUUGGGCGUAAAGGGUCCGCAGGGGGUUUAUUAAGUCUGAUGUGAAAUCCCACGGCUCAACCGUGGAACUGCAUUGGAAACUGAUAGACUAGAGUAUCGCAGAGGAAAGCGGAAUUCCUGGUGUAGCGGUGGAAUGCGUAGAUAUCAGGAAGAACAUCGAGAGCGAAGGCAGCUUUCUAGGCGAUUACUGACCCUCAGGGACGAAAGCGUGGGUAGCGAACAGGAUUAGAUAUCCUGGUAGUCCACGCCGUAAACGCUGUGAACUUGAUGUGGGAGGAUUUAGACCCUUCUGUGUCGGAGCUAACGCGAUAAGUUCACCGCCUGGGGACUACGGCCGCAAGGCUAAAACUCAAAGGAAUUGACGGGGGCCCGCACAAGCGGUGGAGCAUGUGGCUCAAUUCGAGGCAACGCGAAGAACCUUACCUGGGUUUGAAAUGGGAGCCCCUUUUUGGGGUUAGCUCGGUGAAAGCCGAGUUUGUCCACACAGGUGCUGCAUGGCUGUCGACAGCUCGUGCCGUGAGGUGUUCGGUUAAGUCCGGCAACGAGCGCAACCCGUGUCGCUAGUUACCAUCAGGUAAUGCUGGGGACUCUAGUGAGACUGCCCGUGUUAAGCGGGAGGAAGGCGCGGAUGACGUCAAGUCCGUAUGGCCCUUAUGCCCAGGGCUGCACACGUGCUACAAUGGCCGAUACAAUGGGACGCAAGAUCAUGAGAUUGAGCUAAUCCUCAAAAUCGGCCCUAGUUCGGAUUGGAAGGUCUGCAACUCGACUCCAUGAAGUUGGAAUCGCUAGUAAAGGCGUAUCAGCAAUGGCGCCUUGAAUACGUUCCCGGGCCUUGUACACACCGCCCGUCACAUCAUGGAAGCUCACUGUACCCGAAGUCGUUGUACCAACUCUUCUUGAGCGGAAAACGCCUAAGGUAUGGU